rnacentral:rRNA from 2 species
GCUUGCUCCCGGAUGUUAGCGGCGGACGGGUGAGUAACACGUGGGUAACCUGCCUGUAAGACUGGGAUAACUCCGGGAAACCGGAGCUAAUACCGGAUAGUUCCUUGAACCGCAUGGUUCAAGGAUGAAAGACGGUUUCGGCUGUCACUUACAGAUGGACCCGCGGCGCAUUAGCUAGUUGGUGAGGUAACGGCUCACCAAGGCGACGAUGCGUAGCCGACCUGAGAGGGUGAUCGGCCACACUGGGACUGAGACACGGCCCAGACUCCUACGGGAGGCAGCAGUAGGGAAUCUUCCGCAAUGGACGAAAGUCUGACGGAGCAACGCCGCGUGAGUGAUGAAGGUUUUCGGAUCGUAAAGCUCUGUUGUUAGGGAAGAACAAGUGCAAGAGUAACUGCUUGCACCUUGACGGUACCUAACCAGAAAGCCACGGCUAACUACGUGCCAGCAGCCGCGGUAAUACGUAGGUGGCAAGCGUUGUCCGGAAUUAUUGGGCGUAAAGGGCUCGCAGGCGGUUUCUUAAGUCUGAUGUGAAAGCCCCCGGCUCAACCGGGGAGGGUCAUUGGAAACUGGGAAACUUGAGUGCAGAAGAGGAGAGUGGAAUUCCACGUGUAGCGGUG